UAUGUGAUCGUCUCUCGCAUAUCAAUAAGCGGAGGAAAAGAAACUAACAAGGAUUCCCUUAGUAACGGCGAGUGAAGCGGGAAGAGCUCAAAUUUGAAAUCUUAAAGGGUUUCCCUUUACGAAUUGUAGUUUAAAGAAGUGUUUUCUGUUGAGGUUUUGGUAAAAGUUCUUUGGAAUAGGACAUCAUAGAGGGUGAGAAUCCCGUAUUUGACCUUUACUUUCAACUUUGUGAUACACUUUCAAAGAGUCGGAUUGUUUGGGAAUGCAGUCCAAAAUGGGUGGUAAAUUUCAUCUAAAGCUAAAUAUUGGCGAGAGACCGAUAGCGAACAAGUUACCGUGAGGGAAAGAUGAAAAGAACUUUGAAAAGAGAGUUAAACAGUACGUGAAAUUGUCAAAAGGGAAGCGUUUGACACCAGUGUUGUUUUUCUGAAAGAUCAAUUAAAGAACUGUUUAUGCUAAGCUUGUUUAGACUUUAUCAGCUAAUCUGUUUAGUUUUGAGCUUUUCUUUAAUGCACUUUUCAGUUAACAAGUCAACAUCAAUUUCUUUUGCUGUAAAAAAGCUUGAGGAAGGUGGCUUGAGAUUCGUCUUAAGUGUUUAUAGCCUCUUGCCUAUGCAGUCGGAGAGAUUGAGGUCUGCAGCGUAGAUCCUUCGGGGCUAAAUGCAUUUGUGCUAAGUUAUAGCAUUUUAUAGACAACUUGUUGACUAUGAUUUGUCUUGUAGCUUACUCGCUUAUGUUAUUUUACCUACGCUUAGGAUGUUGAGUCAUCACACAUCUCU
rnacentral:rRNA from 1 species